UACGUAGGGGGCUAGCGUUGUCCGGAAUCAUUGGGCGUAAAGAGCGUGUAGGCGGUCCGGUAAGUCAGCUGUGAAAGUCAAGGGCUCAACCCUUGAAUGCCGGUUGAUACUGUCGGGCUAGAGUCCGGAAGAGGCGAGUGGAAUUCCCGGUGUAGCGGUGAAAUGCGCAGAUAUCGGGAGGAACACCGAUAGCGAAGGCAGCUUGCUACACAAUCAUUGACACUGAGGCACGAAAGCGUGGGGAUCAAACAGG
rnacentral:rRNA from 1 species